rnacentral:lncRNA from 1 species
AUGUUUAUCCCACAUUAAGUCUCACAGUUCUUUGCCAUAUUAUAUUAACACCACAAAUCCAUUUUAACAUUCUGAUUCUACCCAUAUGUAUCUUCUAAAUCUUGUUUUCGUGGUUGCCCAACAUUAGAAACUAUAUAUGGCUGGUCUUGACCUCAAAUAUCUUUCAACUCUAAACAUGAGGAAUCGUGGUUGUCGUAUCUUUCAACUUUAGAACUAAAUAUCACAGUUCUGUUCCCAUAAUCCAUGUCAAAACCAACCAAUGCAGAGAAUUCAUUCUAACUUCCAGAUCCCCGUCCAUGUGACUUUAAGAGCUAAAUAUCAAAGGAAGAAUCUACUUCAGACCCUUGACAUUUCUUUACCUUACUUAAGCAUCUUAAACUCUGCUCCAUAAUAUAUCAGCCUGUGUUGCCCAAGCCACAAAAAUAAAGAAAUUCAUGUUCAUGAAUCUUAAUAACUACUUCCACAAAAGAGAUUUUUCGAGGACCAAGACUUCCCACAGCACUACCCUUACAUAUUUGGCAGGACUCUUCACCA